GACAGUGCGUCAUGACGAAAGCAGGAGGUCGUAGUGAAGAUGGCGGGUGUGGCGGUGUUAGCAGAGGUAAAGUUCAGAGAUGGACAGAGACAAAAAAUCUGCGUUCAAGUAGAAAAUAAUCUGACUUCUCUGAACCUAGGAAUAAACGAAUUGAGCACGAACGUCUCGCAGCUUCUCAGCGAGCUCGUGGAGCGGGAAAAAUCUCGCGGAGACUGCGCAGAAGGUGAUGAAGAUGAGGAGGAUAGCUCUGAAGAAGACGAGGAGCCAGAGGAUCCUCAAAACUCUCAAGUACAACCUCCAGCUAAAAAAUCCAAAACCUGAAACACCUGGUCUGUUUGACAUCACAGUCUCUGAAGACGAUGUCAUGUAAUCAGUUAUAUGGACGAGCAGAAACUAAAUGAAGCUGUUACAGGUGUGUCUCAGUUCAUGGUGGAGUCCUGAUCUCUGACUCUAUCACUGAAUCUAAAACCACUUUGAACCAGAGGCCUGUACUAUGAAGAACGUUCAACAUACCCAGGAUCUGUUCAGUGUUCAGCUCACAUCUGCCGUCCCCAACCAUGAAGCAGGUUCUCACCUGGUUCAGUUCCCUCUGGGUUCACCUGCUCUGCGCUCGGUCAUGUGACACAGGCUGAGCAUUAAUUACAGGCAACAUGAAUAAAGUCCUGAAUAUGAUGUGAGAAGAAACUGUGACACCUGCAGGUAAAUUGAGGUACAGUACAUCCACAGGUGAGAUUCAACCAGGAGAGAGGGAAACAACAUGAUCACAUGACCAGAACAGAAAAGAAACAGUGGAAGUAAUUCACAGCUCAUAAAGUCAGACG